rnacentral:lncRNA from 1 species
CGGCUACCCGCGCCACUCAACCCGCGUGGAGUCCUUCAUAUCUUCUUCUCGAUGCCUCGGCGCGGGUAAGAGAACCCGCGUUGGCUCAACCCGAGUUGUGCUCGCUUGAACUCGAACUAACUUCAUUUUCCAUCUCUUCUUGAGCCAUAAUGCUUUUAAACACCUCCAAUUACUCCAUAAGAAACUCAACUACCUGAUUAGGACAUAUGAAUGCAAUAUGGACUCUAAAGAUGCUAAAUUCCUAAUUUAUAUGAUCAAUGUAUGCAAUAUGGAUGGUUAAAACAGUGUAAAU